GUGUCAGCCGCCGCGGUAAUACGUAGGGUGCGAGCGUUAAUCGGAAUUACUGGGCGUAAAGCGUGCGCAGGCGGAUGUUUAAGACAGGUGUGAAAGCCCCGGGCUUAACCUGGGAAUGGCGCUUGUAACUGGACAUCUAGAGUACGUCAGAGGGGGGUGGAAUUCCACGUGUAGCAGUGAAAUGCGUAGAGAUGUGGAGGAACACCGAUGGCGAAGGCAGCCCCCUGGGAUGCUACUGACGCUCAGGCACGAAAGCGUGGGGAGCAAACAGGAUUAGAUACCCUGGUAGUCCACGCCCUAAACGAUGUCAACUGGUUGUUGGGGGAUUUAUUCCCUUAGUAACGUAGCUAACGCGCGAAGUUGACCGCCUGGGGAGUACGGUCGCAAGAUUAAA
rnacentral:rRNA from 1 species